AUAGUGUUGUCAUUGACCUUCCUUAAAUGAAACUGUUGGAGAAGGUCACUGAGAGUGCGUAACCUCCGGUUGACCCUCCAGCUGGACCCGGGCAAUGGGAGGCUCCUCCCCUUGCCCUUAUCCUUGGGGCGUACAUUCCAAGAGCAGUCAUUUCCAGGAUGCAGACUUGAGAAGGUAAGGUGUUGCUGAGACGGUCUGAAUGCGGUACUUGGUCACAGAACCCAGAUGAAGAGACAGAAGGAUUAAGGAUCUCAUUAAAGUGUUUGGAGCUAAUAAGUGGCAGAGCUGAAAUUUGAACCCAGGGAAUUUCAGAAAAUGAGCCUGGCUUUCUUAACUGCUAAGCUGUACUAGACGAUUCUUAAUUUCCCAUUACACUCUCUCCCUGUGUGAAGGACUGUGGACCAUGAACCAUUCGGACACAGCAGGAUUUAAGGGGAUGUGGAUGCCUGGACAAUGAAACCAAAGAUGGAAGUCUGCCCUCUGAAAUGACCUAUGAAAGAAUGACACUCCAGUAGUGAUGACCACAUCUAAUUCCUACCAGAAGGAACUAGGACUUCUUGGAGAAGUAGGCACUCGUCAGUCUGGUGCAGGUGAGCCUAGGAUCUCUCAUUUCAAAACAACAUUGAAAGCACUCAAAGACUGAACUUGCUGGGAUUCCCACUAGCCAAAUUUGUGAUAAUUCGAAUAUCAAAAAGAAUAAUGACUCUAAUUGAUUGUAAAGCAUUGAGCAAAUUCAAAUCUAUGAACCCAACAAUGCUAAUCAAAAGA